rnacentral:rRNA from 1 species
UACGUAGGGUGCCAGCGUUACUCGGAAUUACUGGGCGUAAAGCGUGCGCAGGCGGUUUGUUAAGUCUGUUGUGAAAUCCCCGAGCUCAACUUGGGAAUUGCAAUGGAUACUGGCAGGCUGGAGUAUGGUAGAGGAAGGUGGAAUUCCCGGUGUAGCAGUGAAAUGCGUAGAGAUCGGGAGGAACACCAGUGGCGAAGGCGGUUGCCUGGAGCUUUGCUGACGCUGAGGCGCGAAAGCGUGGGGAGCGAUCCGG